UACAGAGGGUGCGAGCGUUAAUCGGAAUUACUGGGCGUAAAGCGCGCGUAGGCGGCUUUGCAAGUCGGGUGUGAAAUCCCCAGGCUUAACCUGGGAACUGCAUUCGAGACUGCAUUGCUAGAGUAUGGGAGAGGGAAGUGGAAUUUCCGGUGUAGCGGUGAGAUGCGUAGAUAUCAGGAGGAACACCGAUGGCGAAGGCAGGUCUCUGGGCCACUACUGACGCUGAGAAGCGAAAGCAUGGGGAGCGAACAGG
rnacentral:rRNA from 1 species